rnacentral:rRNA from 1 species
AGUGAACGCUGGCGGUAGGCCUAACACAUGCAAGUCGAACGGCAGCACAGUAAGAGCUAGCUCUUACGGGUGGCGAGUGGCGGACGGGUGAGGAAUACAUCGGAAUCUACUUUUUCGUGGGGGAUAACGUAGGGAAACUUACGCUAAUACCGCAUACGACCUACGGGUGAAAGCAGGGGAUCUUCGGACCUUGCGCGAUUGAAUGAGCCGAUGUCGGAUUCGCUAGUUGGCGGGGUAAAGGCCCACCAAGGCGACGAUCCGUAGCUGGUCUGAGUGGAGGAUCAGCCACAAUGGAACUGAGACACGGUCCAGACGCCUACGGGAGGCAGCAGUGGGGAAUAUUGGACGAUGGGCGCAAGCCUGAUCCAGCCAUACCGCGUGGGUGAAGAAGGCCUUCGGGUUGUAAAGCCCUUUUGUUGGGAAAGAAAAGCAGCAGGUUAAGACCCCGCUGUUCUGACGGUACCCAAAGAAUAAGCACCGGCUAACUUCGUG